AACCCAAGGUUUCCAGGGGAAGGUUCGUCCGCCCUGGGUUAGUCGGGACCUAAGCCGAGGCCGAAAGGCGUAGGUGAUGGACAACAGGUUGAUAUUCCUGUACCGCCAAUAAGCGUUUGAGAGAUGGAGUGACACAGUAGGAUAAGCUAACCGUACUGUUGGUUAUGUACGGCUAAGCAUUGAGGCAGUCUAAAUAGGCAAAUCCGUUUAGACAAUGCUAGGAUGUGAUGGGGAAGCCCUUCGGGGCGAAGUAGCUGAUUUCACACUGUCAAGAAAAGCUUCUAUCGAGUUUAAAGGCGCCCGUACCGUAAACCGACACAGGUGGGUGAGGAGAGUAUCCUAAGGCCAGCGAGAGAACUAUUGUUAAGGAACUCGGCAAAAUGACCCCGUAACUUAGGGAGAAGGGGUGCCUGUCUAUGACAGGCCGCAGAGAAUAGGCCCAAGCGACUGUUUACCAAAAACACAGGUUUCUGCUAAGUCGCAAGACGAUGUAUAGGAGCUGACGCCUGCCCGGUGCUGGAAGGUUAAGGGGAUCUGUUAGAGCAAUCGAAGCAGUGAACUUAAGCCCCAGUAAACGGCGGCCGUAACUAUAACGGUCCUAAGGUAGCGAAAUUCCUUGUCGGGUAAGUUCCGACCCGCACGAAAGGCGUAACGAUUUGGGCACUGUCUCAACAAUAGACUCGGUGAAAUUGUAAUCCCGGUGAAGAUGCCGGGUACCUGCGACAGGACGGAAAGACCCCAUGGAGCUUUACUGUAGCUUGACGUUGGGUCUUGGUACUACAUGUACAGGAUAGGUGGGAGACUAUGAAGCAUGGACGCCAGUCUGUGUGGAGUCAUCCUUGGGAUACCACCCUUGUAGUACUGGGAUCCUAACCAUAGGCCUUGAAUCAGGUCUUGGAACACCGUCAGGUGGGCAGUUUGACUGGGGCGGUCGCCUCCUAAAAAGUAACGGAGGCGCUCAAAGGUUUCCUCAGCACGGUCGGAAAUCGUGCGAAGAGUGUAAAGGCAAAAGGAAGCUUGAUUGCAAGACAUACAGGUCGAGCAAGGACGAAAGUCGGACUUAGUGAUCCGGUGGUACCGCAUGGAAGGGCCAUCGCUCAACGGAUAAAAGCUACCCUGGGGAUAACAGGCUUAUCUCCCCCAAGAGUCCACAUCGACGGGGAGGUUUGGCACCUCGAUGUCGGCUCA
rnacentral:rRNA from 1 species